UACGUAGGUGGCAAGCGUUGUCCGGAAUUAUUGGGCGUAAAGCGCGCGCAGGCGGUUUCUUAAGUCUGAUGUGAAAGCCCACGGCUCAACCGUGGAGGGUCAUUGGAAACUGGGGGACUUGAGUGCAGAAGAGAAGAGUGGAAUUCCACGUGUAGCGGUGAAAUGCGUAGAGAUGUGGAGGAACACCAGUGGCGAAGGCGACUCUUUGGUCUGUAACUGACGCUGAGGCGCGAAAGCGUGGGGAGCAAACAGG
rnacentral:rRNA from 1 species